rnacentral:lncRNA from 1 species
UUGAGCGCCUUUCGGGUUUUCACCUUAGCCUCUCCAUUUCUACUUUUUCCAUUUUUCAUUUUUCAUUUUCAUUUUUUCGCAUCUUUUUUCUUCUCUUCUUCUUCUUUUAUUUUUUCCUUUUUUUUUGCGACUCAAAGUGCCCUUUACGAGUUUUUACCUUGGUCAUCUCCUUCUUUAAGCAAAGCAAUUAUUGACUGAAUCUGAGUUUACAGGAUUAGACAAGUUUUUUACUAUCCAUCUUACUUAAUAUCAGUGCUCCUCCGGAAAAUGUCUUCUUUACAACAUAAGGACAUUCCCAAUUUGGCACUCAUUUUUCUCUAAAAUCCUUUUGUAGAGGAAGGAUCUUUUUCAAUACCAGGUCUCCCUCAUGGAAUUCUCUGGGACGAACCUUUUUGUUGUAAGCUCGAAUUAUCUGUUUUUGGGACAUUUGACCGUGAUGAAUAGCUUUUAGCCUUUUUCCUUCAAUUAAGUUCAACUGAUCGUAUUGAGGUUAGAUCUUCAUCCUACUUCAGCUCAGCUAAUACCCGGAGAAAAAGAAUUUCAACUUCAACAGAAAAAUCGUAAUAAGCUAAAGAGAAAGGCAUUGCCCCGGUGGAGGUUUUUUGUUCUUCUUUUUUCCUUUUUUUUAUUUUUUUUGUUUUUGUUUUUUUGUUUUGUUAUUUUUAUUAUUUUGUUUAUUAUUUUUUUUUUGCAUUGAAUCUGCACUCAUAGGAUUAGGCAAGUCCUGGUCAUCCUUUUCAAUCAGAA